rfam:Gossypium raimondii Chr13_contig_23, whole genome shotgun sequence.
UGUUAAAAAUUUCAUCCAUUUCGACUGUUAAAAAAUGACGUGACUAAUAGAAUAACCAGAUAGUUACACGUAGCAGGCCACAUGUACCUCGUGCUAAUGUACAAAGACCAGUUUUUAAUAGUAAAAAUGGAAGGAAUUUUUAACA